UGGGGAAUAUUGCACAAUGGGGGAAACCCUGAUGCAGCGACGCCGCGUGAGCGAUGAAGGCUUUCGAGUCGUAAAGCUCUGUCCUAUGGGAAGAUAAUGACGGUACCAUUGAAGAAAGCCCCGGCUAAUUACGUGCCAGCAGCCGCGGUAAUACGUAAGGGGCGAGCGUUGUCCGGCAUUAUUGGGCGUAAAGAGUGCGUAGGCGGCAAAUUAAGUCAGAUGUGAAAACUAAGGGCUCAACCCAUAGAUUGCAUCUGAAACUGAUAUGCUUGAGUCAAGGAGAGGAAAGUGGAAUUCCUAGUGUAGCGGUGGAAUGCGUAGAUAUUAGGAGGAAUACCGGUGGCGAAGGCGACUUUCUGGACUUGAACUGACGCUGAGGCACGAAAGCGUGGGGAGCAAACAGG
rnacentral:rRNA from 1 species